AUGCCAACUCCAUAAACACAACCAGGCUCCAGGAGCCAGGUUUCCUGGAAUUUUAAGAAGUAAUGUUCAUUUGGUAGCCUAAUUCCCAGGAGCAUACUAAUGUAUGCAAGAAUGGAUAGUUAGUGUUAUGGUUUUCACAGUUCGUGCAUCUGUGUUCUGUGAAUAUGAAUACUUAAAAUUCAAGUGCCUAGUGCCAAGCCCGUAAGAAAUAUCUGUG
rnacentral:misc_RNA from 1 species